AGUCUUCUGGACCUCCAUCCAGAUAUGAAACAAGUGCUGGCAAGAGUAGUCAUCGAAGGGUGCCCCAGUCGUUGUGCAGUGUUCUAGUCAACGCGGUGCACGCUGGCUGGAAUACCUGGUCCAAGACGCCGAGUCUGUGUUUGCGGGGUUUUUAUCACAGGUAUCCGCAGGAGGGAUUGGAACCUGUUGGUGUGGGGACGUUCGUGCAGGGACCUGGUGCUGUCACUGCUAGCCUGCGAAGAACGGCUGCACUUGUACAGGUCAGUCGUUUGUAGGUCAGCAGGGCGAUGAACCACGCGUUUCGUGGUCACGGUCAUGAAGUUGUUGCAGACAGCACGGAAAGUAUCCAACGGUAUGUAUAGGACUCGCUCCUUCUUAUUGCAAUGCAUUCCGAGCGAUGUUUGAGAGUUUUUGGAAGAGAUGUCACAGGUUGAGAAGUUUUCCGCACCGCUGAUACGAAACGAUGAUAGAGAAGCACGAAUGGACCGAGAAAUUGCGGCGAUAGGGGAUGACGAAUGCAUUCAUAGAAUCCGGGUUCUCGGUCGAGUUUUCCGAGUGGCUCGUUCGACUCCUUGCCGCUGGAAAUCGUUAUGUGCACGUUACAAGGGGAGUGUCGACGCCCUCGAUCUACGCUUCGUAACGUGAACGGGAGCACUAUCCGAAUCAUACGAUGCGGACUCUGCGUUUCAACAUUCCUUGCCUGCAGCACGCUCAGAUACCGAAUUCUUCAAGUUUUCGAUGGUUCUGCUUCAAGGCAGCACGAGGGCGCAGCAGGCAUCGCCGCUGGAUGGACGACGACGGGGAAAAACUCUACAUCAGCUUUGGAGACUUUCCCAGACGCUCAUGCCGAAAGUUCACUGAACCUGUCUCAUCAAGCAACAGAUUCAGCUCGGAACACAUACCCUCCGCUCUUGGUGGCCGUCGACGACAUGUCAUUCGGCAUCCGACGGCAGCAGCACGGUGCCUCUCAGGGGGUAUGCACUCAGGGGCUGGCGGCUCAUCUGUUUGCCAGCAAAGGGUCUUGGACUCGCGCUUGAGUCAUCGAUGCGAUCGCAUUUGGCGAUACGAGCGCCAUCGCUUUCCAUGAACGGGGGCGUAGACGGAUCGCAUUUUCUCGACCUGCUCUCAUGUCUAGAUGUUCGGUCUGGUACUGGUCUCAAGACGUGGAAGAAAGUGUCCCGCAAACCCUGUAUCGAGUGGUGCUGCUUGCUCUUGCGCGUGCGGUUCAGAGGGCAUGCGCUGAGGGCAUCGCACAGACCAAGCCCGUGCACCUGCGACACAACACCGGGUGCGGAAACGGCGGAGGGCAUUUCUGGGUCAGCCUUGUUUAUCGCGCCAAGGGUGUGUAACGGGCGAUGACGCCAACGUCCAAGCGCCACAAAGCGGCUGUCCGUAAGUAGCGCGUCUCGUGGGCGCAUGGGAGCGCCCCUGUGCAUUCAUUUGUCAACGGUGCGACGUGCGCACCGAGGCUGUAUACAGAAGAAAAGAGUAUCGUAUGCGAAGCGUAGAUCGCAUGUAGCGUCUGUCGGCUCAAUGAAUAGAACGUAGCGGAAAGCAGGGAAUUCGGGCGUUGAACGCUGCCAUCAACAUCCUCACUACUAUCAGCAAACGAAACCGGAGGGGAAAGGAGUCACCCGCGUAUUGAAAGCCGGACCCAGAUGAGAGUAAACGAGAGCAGUCUCAUAAAAUCCCCAAAGGC